UCUCGAACUUUGCCCCUUUCACCUCCAAUGGCUUCAGCGACACCCCUUUUGACGGAUGAGCUCGACAUUGUGAUCCCGACCAUCAGAAACCUCGACUUCCUCGAGAUGUGGCGGCCGUUCCUGCAGCCCUACCACCUCAUCAUCGUCCAGGACGGUGAUCCGACGAAGACCAUCAAGGUCCCCGACGGCUUCGACUACGAGCUCUACAACCGCAACGACAUUAACAGGAUUCUGGGUCCGAGGUCGUCCUGCAUUUCGUUCAAAGACUCUGCCUGCCGAUGCUUUGGUUACAUGGUCUCCAAGA
rnacentral:lncRNA from 1 species